rnacentral:lncRNA from 1 species
UUUUACAAGAAUGGAAAGUUAAUGACUAGACUUUAUUUAAAACAUAAAAGGAGGGACUUGACUUGCAAUUAUUCAAUAAUUAUCCAUUAAAUAUCAUCUAUAUUACCCAUUUUCUCAUAUUUUGGGGGAACAUGAGAGAAGGCUCGAGAGAACCCGAGAGAGAAGAAAAGAGAAGGGAAGAAAGAAGAAGAAGAAGAAGAAGAAGAAGAAGAAAGAAGAUGGUUUCAAGAUAGGGUUUUCAAGUUCUUCAAUUUCUCUUUGAUUUAGCAUGGUAAGUAUAAAAUAUAUUGAAUUAAAUUUCUAAGGGUUAUGGGAAAUUUGCUUUAAUUCAAAAUUCGGCAAAAAUCAUGUGUUAUUGAUAUGUAUUUGAUGUUAUAAAUAAGGAUAUAGCAGAGAAAUAUUUAUUUGGAUAUAGAUGUUGAAAAAAGUGGAAACUUUGGAAUUGGGUUUGUGAGAUAAAGGUAUAUUCUUUGAAAUUCUUGUGAUUACAUGGUGCUAAACACUUAAAUUAAGGAUUUGACGUUGAAAUUAUCUAAUUUUUCAGCCAUUUUCG